rnacentral:rRNA from 1 species
GACGAACGCUGGCGGCGUGCUUAACACAUGCAAGUCGAACGGAAAGGCCCUGCUUUUGUGGGGUGCUCGAGUGGCGAACGGGUGAGUAACACGUGAGUAACCUGCCCUUGACUUUGGGAUAACUUCAGGAAACUGGGGCUAAUACCGGAUAGGAGCUCCUGCUGCAUGGUGGGGGUUGGAAAGUUUCGGCGGUUGGGGAUGGACUCGCGGCUUAUCAGCUUGUUGGUGGGGUAGUGGCUUACCAAGGCUUUGACGGGUAGCCGGCCUGAGAGGGUGACCGGCCACAUUGGGACUGAGAUACGGCCCAGACUCCUACGGGAGGCAGCAGUGGGGAAUGUUGCACAAUGGGCGGAAGCCUGAUGCAGCAACGCCGCGUGCGGGAUGACGGACUUCGGGUUGUAAACCGCUUUCGCCUGUGACGAAGCGUGAGUGACGGUAAUGGGUAAAGAAGCACCGGCUAACUACGUG